rnacentral:rRNA from 1 species
AGCGAACGCUGGCGGCGUGCUUAACACAUGCAAGUCGAGUGCGCGCCUGUAGCAAUACAGGUGGCGCACGGCGCACGGGUGCGUAACACGUGGGUAAUCUGCCCUUCGAUGGGGAAUAACCUCGCGAAAGCGAGGCUAAUUCCGCAUAACAUUCCGAUGGUUCCGAUCAAUGGACUCAAAGCCGUAAGGCGUCGGAGGAGGAGCCCGCGCACGAUUAGCUAGNGGUGAGGUAACGGCUCACCAAGGCUUUGAUCGUUAGCUGGUCUGAGAGGAUGGCCAGCCACACUGGAACUGAGACACGGUCCAGACUCCUACGGGAGGCAGCAGUGGGGAAUCUUGCACAAUGGGCGAAAGCCUGAUGCAGCGACGCCGCGUGGGGGAUGAAGC